rnacentral:rRNA from 1 species
UACGUAGGGCGCAAGCGUUGUCCGGAAUUAUUGGGCGUAAAGAGCUCGUAGGCGGUUUGUCGCGUCUGCUGUGAAAACCUAAGGCUCAACCUUGGGCUUGCAGUGGGUACGGGCAGACUAGAGUGCGGUAGGGGUGACUGGAAUUCCUGGUGUAGCGGUGGAAUGCGCAGAUAUCAGGAGGAACACCGAUGGCGAAGGCAGGUCACUGGGGCCGCAA